rnacentral:rRNA from 1 species
UACAGGGGGGGCAAGCGUUGUUCGGAAUUACUGGGCGUAAAGCGCGCGUAGGCGGAUUUGUAAGUCAGGGGUGAAAUCCCGGGGCUCAACCUCGGAACUGCCUUUGAUACUGCAAAUCUCGAGUCCGGAAGAGGUGAGUGGAAUUCCUAGUGUAGCGGUGAAAUGCGCAGAUAUCAGGAAGAACACCCGUGGCGAAGGCGGCUCUCUGGGACGGUACUGACGCUGAGACGCGAAAGCGUGGGGAGCGAACAGG